GGCUACAAGGCCGGCGGCGCGGAGCCCGCCCCGUGCGCGUUCCCUGCGGCCCGCAGCCGCGGCGCCCGGGGCCCGCCGGCCUCUCUAGCCGCCGCCUCGAUGGUGGGCAGCCGCGCGCAGCCUCUAGCGCCAGGAGGGGGCGCCAGGCGGGGCCUGUGAAGCCUGGCGAGGCUGCGCCCGGGAUGGCUGGACCGCUGGGCCCCUGAGACUACCCGGCGGAGGGACGUCCCCAAAUGACACUCGGAGGCCGCAUCCCUGGACUCCGGUGCUUGGUGCCGGGAGGAGCGGAGCGGCUUUCGACCCGGCCUCAGAUGCGCCAGCACGUUUUCUGGGCAGCAUCUGCGUGUUAGGCGACCUGGCAGGUGGGACCCUCAUAGGGAAGAAGAAAACGGACUUCCAGCUCCAGGCAGAAGGAAGCAGUGGUCGUUGCUCCCGGCGCGGUGGCUCACGCCUGUAAUCAAACACUGUGGGAGGCCGAGGCGGGUGGAUCACGAGGUCAGGAGAUCAAGACCAUCCUGGCCAACAUGGUGAAACCCCGUCUCUACUAAAAAUACUAAAAUUAGCUGGGCGUGGUGGCGCGGGCCUGUAGUCCCAGCUACUCAGGAGCCUGAGACCUGAGAAUCGCUUUAACCCGGGAGGCGGAGGUUGCAGUGAGCCAAGAUCGCACCACUGCACUCCAGUCCAGCCUGGCUACAGAGCAAGACUCCGUCUCAAAACAAAAAAAAAUUGUUCUAUGGGGAGCGACAAGGAAGGAACUGUCAGCCCUUCCUUGGACUGGGGUCGCAGGGAAGAAUUCAAGAUGGAGUGUUUAGGAGAUAGACCUUGACAAAUUAGUAAAAUGUUAGUCUUAGGAGUCGGACGAAAAGACUCUCCUAGGCUACGAAACAGCAUACACAGUGAAAAACCUCAGAAGAGAUAAAAUUCAAGGAAGAGAGCAACAACGAAAACGUCAGAAAGAACACUAAAGGAAACAUUGAGUUACAAUAUGAAAAAAAAGUGAGCUUCUAAAAGAAAAUCAAAUCCUAUCAGAAGAGUUACAUGGAGUAAGCAAUUUUAUACGGAUGCCGAUUUACUCUCCCUACCAUAAAAUCUGAUAAACAGCAAACAUUUAUUAAGCACCUAUCACAUGUCGAGAACUGUGCUAAGGACACAUGAAGAUGACUAAGAGCACCCGAGCUCACAGUCUAGGGAUUACCAGAAGAAAGACUGAUGGAUCAUGAGUGGACGGGAGAUGAAUUAAUACAAACAGCUUUCAUUGUAGGAAGAAGGAAAGUGAAUUAAUGCUUUUGAAAGAGACAGAAAAGUAGAUUUCUGGGCAAUAUGAAGCUGAGUGUCAAUCUUGUCAGAUUCUGAAGGCAUCUCUAGAUCAAGCUUCCCAGUGAAAAUGGGGCAAUGACAAUAGGACAACUAGAAAUAAGCUAUAAUUAUAGCAAAGAAGGCAACAGCCAGCAUAAACUUGCCUAAUGUCAUUUUUGAAGUCAUAGAACUACUCUUUUCAACUACUCUUCCCAUCAGAGGCUUCCUGAUACGAUCCUCUGUGGUGAGGAUGGCUUUUCGAGCCUCAUCCCACUUUCCAGGGCCCUGUAGACGAUAGUGGAUUGGAGUGCAGGGUCCCAGUAAUAAGUGUAAUGCCAGCUUGGGGUCAGUGAAGGCCAGAGCCAGCAGAUUGGGCCUGACUCCCACCAAAUCAGCAAGCUCUUCCAUCGUAUCUAUGUAGUCUCCCUGAAUGGUAUGGCGUUGGCUCUCCACAUACCUAAAGUAGAGAAGACAGAAAUCAGGGCCUGUUAAUACUUCAAUCAGUCAAUCAACCAAUGACUGCCUUCUGAGUGCCUGCUGUUGGCUCAAUAUCAGACUAGGAGCUGUGGAAUAUAGAGAAGAAAACACCUGUCACUGUCCUUAAGGAUCUUAGGAUCUACAAAAGGAGAAUCAUCCAGAAAAGGAAAGGCAAAGGUAUAGCCUGUUGCAAAGAUGACAGCAUCAAUGUCAUCCUCCCUGGAGCCAUCCUCAAAUAUGGCAGCUGUCUCAGUGAAUUCCUUCACAUUUCCUUUAACUUUCACCAUGCCGGAAAUGAUACGAUUUGGCAGGUCAUCAUUUAUGGUUGGAUGCUGACUCAGAGCUCUGUGAGUGGUGGUAAAGAUCAAGUGAAGGAGAAAUGAGAGAAAGAGAAAUCAGUACCAUAUCAAGAUCAGAGCUGAAGUUGGACCCUGGCUGGCACUGAAAGGGAGAGUGUUGGAGGAGUGAAGGAAGAAGAGUCUUGUCUGAGGAGUGCAUGUAUGAUUUCUCAAGUUACAAUAAUGUUCUGUAUGUGAUAUGAUGAGGCCGCAGGCCAAUAGUUUCUAUUCUCAUAUCAAGAAGCCUGACAGAACUAAACUGUCAACAUUCUGUCCAGUCUCACUUCCAGUUUCAAAGGCUCAAGAGCUAGGUUUAGGCCACUAUUUUCCAAACUGUAUAAUAAAUUACAUGUAUGUAGCAAUUUACAGUUUAUAAGUUGCUUUUACAUGCAUCAACUUAUUUGACUCUCUCAAAACUCUAUGAAGGAAGUAGGUGUCAUUAUCCAGGUUUUAUAAAUGAGGAAAUUGAGGCCUAGAAAAGUUACAUGAUUUGUCCAAUGUUACGCAGCCUAGGAUUUUAGAAUUUAUCUCAAAGUUGUUUUCAAUGAAUUAUCUUGGAGUACUUUGGGCCUGUUAUUGUUUCCUAGGGACAACAAUAACAUUGUGUUGGUACAAAAGUAAUUGCCUUUUUUGAUGAAGUCUUGCUCUGUCACCAGGCUGGAAUGCAGUGGCAUAAUCUCUGCUUACUGCAACCUCUGCCUUCCGAGUUCAAGCGAUUCUCCUGCCUCAGCCUCCUGAGUAGCUGGGACUACAGGAGUGCGCCACCAUACCCAUCUAAUUUUUGUGUUUUUAGUAUAGACAGGGUGUUAUGUUGGCCAGGAUGGUCUCGAUCUCUUGACCUUGUGAUCCACCUGCCUCGGCAUCCCAAAGUGCUGGGAUUACAGAUGUGAGCCACUGUGCCUGGCCUGCCAUUACUUUCUUUUAAUAAUAAUAAGGGUGGUUUCCAGUAUCACGGAUCUUUCUAAAAAGCCAUCUUUUUUUCUUUUGAAAAAGACCUACUCCUUUUCACCUUAUCUAUACCACCUUAUACAGUUGAUCAAAUUUUGCAUAAUUACUGUGGGAUAUACUGACAUCGUGUGGUUUUAACGUGACCCACUGACAUCAACGUCACCUGUGUAGUCUAUGCGUCAAAAACAUUUAACCUGAAUAUAAUAAAGGAAAAAACUAUGCAAGUCUAAAUUUAGAGACUUUCUACAAAACAAUGCCUUGGGUUCUUAAAAAGGAAGCCCAUGUCAAAGAGAGAAUUAUUUCAGAUUAAGAGAGAUUAAAGAGACAUGACAACUACAUGUAAUGGUGUGAUUGAUUACCUGGCAGGAUACUAGAUUUAAAAAGAUUUUUUAAAGCCAUAUAAAAUAUUAUUGGGGCAACUGUGGAUACUGCCAACGUAUUAGAUAAUGUAUUUUAAAUUUCCCAAGUGUGAUAAUUAUAUGAUGGUUAUGUAAGAGAGUGCCCUUUUUCUUAUACGAUAUACACUGAAGUAUUUAAAGUGUCUUAAUGACUGCAACGUACCCAAAUGGCUUCAGAAAAAAAAUGUGCUUGUGUGUGUAUGCUCUAUAUGUGUGGAUCUAUCUACAGAGAGGGGGAAGCAGCAGAAGCAAAUACAGCAAACUGUUAACAGGUGAAUCCAGGUGAAGGGUAUAUGGGCGCUGAUUGUACUUAUUAUUUUGCAACUUUUGUAUAGAUCUGAACAUUUAAAAAAAUAAAAACUUGGAGGUAAAAUAAAUUUAGAAUCAGCCUCUAGAAAUGUUUUCCCUCCCUGGCUCCUCAACUUUCGUAGCACUCUGUGUACCUCUUUAUUAUACUCUGUUCUCUUUCUUCUCAUUAGAGUAUUUAAGGUAAGAUCCAUUUAUUGAGUCUGUCAUUCAUUACUCGUGUUGCCCUCAGGAAAGUUACUUAGUUUCUAUAUGUCUUAAUUUUUAUAUUUGUAAAAUGUACAUAGAAAAUUAUGGAGGCCAAAGCAACUCCCAUCUUAGAAGCUAAUCUACCAUAUUGAUUUCUGAUCAACCUCAGUUCCAGGAAGACCUCUGAGAUUUCCAGUUAAUCUGUUGUUUAAGAGCAUGUACUUAUCCUUAAUUCCGCCCCCACCAUAGGGCAAACUCCUACCCAUUCUCGCUGAAGCAUGUGUGCCCCUCCCUUAUAGUAUAUAAGGCACGUUAUAUCCUGGGUCGGGAGAUAAUGGUACGGGGAUCUAACAUCUUGUCUCCCCACUGCCUGAGACACAGAUGUGGCUUCUGUUCGUAAGUCCCUAUUAAAUGUUUCUAAGCAAC